rnacentral:tRNA from 1 species
GGAAAGAGCUCAGUGGGUAGAGUGCUUGCCUGGCAUGCACAAGGCCCCCCCUCCUGGGUUCAAUCCCCAGCACCA